UUUUAAUAGCUUAUAUAGAGUAUAAUAGUGAAGAUAUUAGGGAGGAGUUUUUCUUAAAGUA
rnacentral:tRNA from 1 species